UGGGGAAUUUUGGACAAUGGGCGAAAGCCUGAUCCAGCAAUGCCGCGUGUGUGAAGAAGGCCUUCGGGUUGUAAAGCACUUUUGUCCGGAAAGAAAUCCUUGGCUCUAAUACAGUCGGGGGAUGACGGUACCGGAAGAAUAAGCACCGGCUAACUACGUGCCAGCAGCCGCGGUAAUACGUAGGGUGCAAGCGUUAAUCGGAAUUACUGGGCGUAAAGCGUGCGCAGGCGGUUUGCUAAGACCGAUGUGAAAUCCCCGGGCUCAACCUGGGAACUGCAUUGGUGACUGGCAGGCUAGAGUAUGGCAGAGGGGGGUAGAAUUCCACGUGUAGCAGUGAAAUGCGUAGAGAUGUGGAGGAAUACAGAUGGCGAAGGCAGCCCCCUGGGCCAAUACUGACGCUCAUGCACGAAAGCGUGGGGAGCAAACAGGAUUAGAUACCCUGGUAGUCCACGCCCUAAACGAUGUCAACUAGUUGUUGGGGAUUCAUUUCCUUAGUAACGUAGCUAACGCGUGAAGUUGACCGCCUGGGGAGUACGGUCGCAAGAUUAAAACUUAAAUGAAUUGACGGGGUCAUAGCUGUUUCCU
rnacentral:rRNA from 1 species